rnacentral:rRNA from 1 species
CCUACGGGAGGCAGCAGUGAGGAAUAUUGGUCAAUGGGCGCGAGCCUGAACCAGCCAAGUAGCGUGAAGGAUGACUGCCCUACGGGUUGUAAACUUCUUUUAUAAAGGAAUAAAGUGAGGCACGUGUGCCUUUUUGUAUGUACUUUAUGAAUAAGGAUCGGCUAACUCCGUGCCAGCAGCCGCGGUAAUACGGAGGAUCCGAGCGUUAUCCGGAUUUAUUGGGUUUAAAGGGGGCGUAGAUGGGUUGUUAAGUCAGUUGUGAAAGUUUGCGGCUCAACCGUAACAUUGCACUUGAUACUGGCAGUCUUGAGGACAGAUGAGGUAGCGGAAAGUGGUGGUGAAGCGGUGAAAUGCUUAGCUAUCACGAAGAACUCCGAUUGCGAGGGCAGAUUACUAAGCUGCCACUGACAUGGAUGCUCGAAGGGGUGGGUAUCAAACAGGAUUGGAUACCCUGGUAGUC